CAGCCGCGGCGUUGCAGCACGGACAAACCAGCAGCCUUUGGGCAGGUGUGGACGGGCAGAAAAGGGCAAUUAACUGACAAUUAAUAAUUUAAUCGAGCAAAUUCUUGUUGACAAUUAAUCGAUAGUUAAUUAAUUGUUUAUAUCCCUAAAACAAAGAAAAUGUUCU